GUGGGAGAAUGAGUUGGUACCCUCAAUUGCUCGCGGAGCUGAAUUGGGGCAUGGUUUGAAUUUCGCGGACGAAAUUCUUUUAAGGGGUGGAGAAUGUAACAUACCAGAUUUUGGUAUAAAAAAAAUAAAAAAUAAAAAUAGUGUGAGAAACUAUUUUCAUUGGAUUUAGAGAAGUAAACAAUAAGUCAGAAAUGACUUGUGCUGAAAUCGGAAUGAAAACAGAAGAUCUAGAAUUUUUUGUUGGAAACGAGACAGAUAAAUUAGCAGAAAAUGCACAGUCUUAGAAAAUUAUGAAAAUUGGAGGAUAAGUCAGAAAUAUUUUUAUGAGGCUAGAUUUAAAGUUUCAUAUUUUUCUGAUACCCGUAGAGUGAGAAAUAAAAUUCGAGAGUUAUCUGAUAAAGAUUACAGUUCGGCACAGUUUUCGGUGACCAAAUGGGGUCGAAACUGAAAACUUAAGAUAUAUUCUUACUCAGUACGUUAAACCGAGCUUGCCUGUCAAAUUUGAGCCCAAACGGACAUUCAGAAGGGCUCAAACUGUUCCGAACUGCUAAAACUGCCUGGAGUGAAUAGUUGAGGGGUAAAAUGGUAAAAAGGGGCUUAAACCCUUUUCUUCUUCUUCCUCCCAGCCGUGGCAGCCACAAGACACGCACACACACACGCGCAUGGAGGGAGAGAGAGAAACUGUCCUUUCUCUCUCUAAGUCUCUCCCAAAAUGGAUGGAUUUGGUGGAGAUUGAAGCUAGGAGAAGGAUCGUCUUCAUCUUCUUCAUCUUCUCCAUGGUUUGGAGCUAGUUUUGAGGUGAGCUUCUUGAGCCCUUUAAUGGUAUCUCCUUAUAGUUUGGAUUUUAAGCUUUAAGAAUGGAUUUAGAGCUAUUCUAGCAUGCUAAAGAGAAGAUUGUUGUCUAAAUCAUCGAUCAAUUUAGAGAUUUCUUGCCUAGUUGCAACCUAGGGCUCCAAAAUGUAAUUUUUGCUAAUAGAUGGGUUUGAUCUAUUUUGACCCUAUGUAAACCUAAUUGCUAGGUAAACGAAUGCGUUGGCGAAGACGGUUCGGCGAUUCGUCGAGCCGUUGCGAAGUUAUUAAAGAAACGGACGUUUAGGCUUCGUUUCCGCCUGGAGGGCUGAGGCGACAUCGUAAUCCCAUGAAAACGGAUUUGAAGCAUCGUGGCACAUAACCGAAGACUUUUAAUUUCCGGAUCGUGAAUUGGAGGCCGUUCGGAUGGUCGCGCGAGAGAUCGGGCCAAACCGGGUGCCGGGUGCCGGGUGCCGUGGGAGGCCGAGUGCAAGUGUCGACAAGCAAUCGGAAUGCGAAAUGAGGUGGGUUGUGCUCACCGAAGCGACUAGGUUGCCUAUAUGUAUAAGUGUAAUGGUUUUCCUAUUUGAUGCAUAUAGUCGAUGUUACUUACUGUUGAGAUAACAUGCAUAAUGACAUAUAUUGUGUUAAUUGCUAGAUGAAUGCAUGAGUUAAUUGUUACGUGAAUGCAUGAAAAUAAUGUUAUAGUAAUAUGUUAGAGAUAAUAUGCAUGUUGAUAAAUUAUGGAACAUGUUGGAUGGCAUAUGAAUGGUUGGCAUAUAUAUGUAGACAUAUUGUGGAAUAUGAUGAAUGAGUGCAUGUUGAUUUAUUGUAGAAUAUACUAGAUGAAUGUAUAUUGACAUAUUGUGGAUUAUGUUAAAUGACACAUGCAUGUUGAACUUGGGUCGAUAAACUCUAGGUGAAUUAGAGAACUCGACAUUGGAAAACAAUGACAUAUGAACUAUGAUAUGUGACGUGGACAAUCUAUAUAUAUUAGAUCGAGUGGCAUAUGAUUAGUAUAGUGGAAACACUUAUGGCAUGUUGAACACUUAGAAAACAAGUGUGGCAUGAGUCCAAGAAUAUAGUAGUGUAUAUGACACAAGUGAUAGUAAAGAAUGCAAAGAAAAGAAUGAUGGAAAUAUUAUGACAUUUCAACCCUAGAGUUAGGGUCAUUUGAGCAUAGUCUUCCUAAAGUUAAGGAAUGGAUUGAACUUGACAUCCUCAAGAUUUUGGAUUUGAUCAUUGAUCAUACUCACCUUUAGUCCUUGCUCGAGGUUGUGGUAGCUCCCCCUCGGGCGAUGUGCUCCGGAGUCGACAUCACUGGGUUGUAGCGGUUAUCUCCCCAGAGGACGGUCCCACCGGGUUGUAGCGGGUAUCUCCCCGGUUAAUGGGAUUUUGGGUUGGUGAGUUUGUUGAGGGCGA
rnacentral:lncRNA from 1 species